rfam:West Nile virus isolate WNV-1/TS/BID-V4560/2003, complete genome
CAGUAGUUCGCCUGUGUGAGCUGACAAACUUAGUAGUGUUUGUGAGGAUUAACAACAAUUAACACAGUGCGAGCUGUUUCUUAGCACGAAGAUCUCGAUGUCUAAGAAACCAGGAGGGCCCGGCAAGAGCCGGGCUGUCAAUAUGCUAAAAC